CAUGUAAAUUUUGCUUUAUAACCUUGAAAAUGUUUGCUCUGAACUUCUGAAUCCAGGCAUGGGAAUCUUUCCCUCCCCACAGUCCAUCCAGGAGAG